rnacentral:rRNA from 1 species
GCCUGAUCCACCAUGCCGCGUGUGUGAAGAAGGCCUUUUGGUUGUAAAGCACUUUAAGCGAGGAGGAGGCUACUUGGAUUAAUACUCUAGGAUAGUGGACGUUACUCGCAGAAUAAGCACCGGCUAACUCUGUGCCAGCAGCCGCGGUAAUACAGAGGGUGCGAGCGUUAAUCGGAUUUACUGGGCGUAAAGCGUGCGUAGGCGGCUUUUUAAGUCGGAUGUGAAAUCCCUGUAGCUUAACUUAGGAAUUGCAUUCGAUACUGGGAAGCUAGAGUAUGGGAGAGGAUGGUAGAAUUCCAGGUGUAGCGGUGAAAUGCGUAGAGAUCUGGAGGAAUACCGAUGGCGAAGGCAGCCAUCUGGCCUAAUACUGACGCUGAGGUACGAAAGCAUGGGGAGCAAACAGGAUUAGAUACCCUGGUAGUCCAUGCCGUAAACGAUGUCUACUAGCCGUUGGGGCCUUUGAGGCUUUA